rnacentral:rRNA from 1 species
GGAGACAGGUGCUGCAUGGCUGUCGUCAGCUCGUGUCGUGAGAUGUUGGGUUAAGUCCCGCAACGAGCGCAACCCUUGCCUUUAGUUGCCAGCGAGUUCGGCUGGGCACUCUAAAGGGACUGCCGGUGUUAAACCGGAGGAAGGUGGGGAUGACGUCAAGUCCUCAUGGCCUUUAUGACCAGGGCUACACACGUACUACAAUGGCCGAUACAAAGGGCAGCGACACUGCGAGGUGAAGCCAAUCCCGUAAAAUCGGUCUCAGUCCGGAUUGGAGUCUGCAACUCGACUCCAUGAAGUUGGAAUCGCUAGUAAUCGUGGAUCAGCAUGCCACGGUGAAUACGUUCCCGGGCCUU